CUUUUAUGAUGAGCAAAAAGUGAAUUCUGCAAUACUGACAAUUUCCCCUCAUUGGGUGAAAUUGUAUGUGGACACAUUCUACACUUGAUCUGAUG
rnacentral:snoRNA from 1 species